GGUUUGUUGUACCAUAGGCAUAUAACAUGUCCUGUCUCAUUGCCCAGCUUUCUGAAGAAGUGACGAGUUGUAGGAGCCUCCCUUCUGCAGAAGUAAAGAAUUCUGACUUUGGAUAACUGGUACUGAUCUCCAAAAAUGAAACUGCAUAGCCUCAUCCUGACAUCAGCUAUUCUCAUCACAGCCAUCUGGUCUUGUCUAGCCGAGGAGCCCACAAAGACGACCUUCUGUAUAGAUACGCCAGGAAUGAAUUUAAGAGAAGGAAGACCUGGGCCGCCUGGCCUGAAAGGAGACAAGGGAGACACAGGGAGAAUUGGAGUACAGGGCCCUCCUGGGAUCAUUGGACUUCCAGGUCCACCGGGAACGAAUGGAGACACAGGACCUCCUGGAUUCCCAGGACAGGCAGCUGACAUGCGCCGCAUUACAAAACUGGAAGCAGAAAUUCAAGCUUUGAAGACCACGAUUUCCAAUCUUGAAAAACGUAUGCAGUUUAUCUACUGGAGCAAUCACGGCCAAAAGAGAUUUGGCACCAAAAACGACCAGCUAACCUUUGAUGAUGGAGUGAAGCUCUGCAAGGAAGCCAGUGGAGAAAUUGCAAUGCCAGCAAAUGCAGGAGAGAAUGAGGCCUUAAUGAAGCUUGUGAAAUCUUCCGAGGCAUACCUUGGGCUGAACGACAGGGUGAAAGAAGGCAGGUUUGAAGAUGUCAGUGGGAAUCCCGUGACAUUCACAAACUGGAAAUCAGGGGAGCCCAAUAAUUACAAUGGGAAUGAGGACUGCUCUAUAAUAACAUCUGAUGGGAUUUGGAAUGACGUUCCGUGUAGUCGGAGUUAUACCAUAAUUUGUCAGUUUCAGUAAAAUGGGAUGGAAGGAAGUCCGAUGUAGACGUAAGAUGUCUGCACGUUUGUUCAGAUAUUUGUUCAGCACACUCUCUGUACAGCUUGUCAUGAGUAUUCAACGUCUUAUUUCACACAGAGCUAUGGUUGUUCUUGACUGCGAUUACACCUGCAGCGUGUUGCACCCUCUUCUACAUUCUCGUACGUCACUGUGUCUGUGGGUACGCCUACUUCAUCUGGUUUUCCUUCAUUCGUCAUUGACACUUUCAAGUCAACACUUGUGAUCCUUUUAGGUUUUUUUCAAAUAUUUCAACAAAUUUUGUUUUUGCGAGACGGCCAUGAAAACAAAAUCAGCCGAUUCAAGGACAAAUCGAGAGAAUCGUUCAACAGAAGCUGAGGUCAAACACCAAAGCAGAGAUUGUUAAACUUUAUCCUUGGGGUAAAAACAAGUUCAAAUUCGUUAAUAAAUUCUUGAUCGUAACCAGAAUAAAUCCUUAUUUUUUUUUU